UACGGAGGAUGCGAGCGUUAUCCGGAUUUAUCGGGUUUAAAGGGUGCGUAGGCGGACGCUUAAGUCAGCGGUAAAAUUGCGGGGCUCAACCUCGUCGAGCCGUUGAAACUGGGUGCCUUGAGUGGGCGAGAAGUACGCGGAAUGCGUGGUGUAGCGGUGAAAUGCAUAGAUAUCACGCAGAACUCCGAUUGCGAAGGCAGCGUACCGGCGCCCUACUGACGCUGAAGCACGAAGGCGUGGGUAUCGAACAGG
rnacentral:rRNA from 1 species